AGUGAACGCUGGCGGUAGGCCUAACACAUGCAAGUCGAACGGCAGCACAGUAAGAGCUUGCUCUUACGGGUGGCGAGUGGCGGACGGGUGAGGAAUACAUCGGAAUCUACUUUUUCGUGGGGGAUAAUGUAGGGAAACUUACGCUAAUACCGCAUACGACCUACGGGUGAAAGCAGGGGAUCUUCGGACCUUGCGCGAUUGAAUGAGCCGAUGUCGGAUUAGCUAGUUGGCGGGGUAAAGGCCCACCAAGGCGACGAUCCGUAGCUGGUCUGAGAGGAUGAUCAGCCACACUGGAACUGAGACACGGUCCAGACUCCUACGGGAGGCGGCAGUGGGGAAUAUUGGACAAUGGGCGCAAGCCUGAUCCAGCCAUACCGCGUGGGUGAAGAAGGUCUUCGGGUUGUAAAGCCCUUUUGUUGGGAAAGAAAAGCAGCAGGUUAAUACCCCGCUGUUCUGACGGUACCCAAAGAAUAAGCACCGGCUAACUUCGUG
rnacentral:rRNA from 1 species